GACGAACGCUGGCGCGCGCCUUACCCAUGCAAGUCGAACGGAGUCAAUCGGAGCUUUCUUUUCUUGACUUAGUGGCGAACUGGUGAGUAACGCGUGAGUAACCUGCCCUGGAGUGGGGGACAACAGUUGGAAACGGCUGCUAAUACCGCAUAAGCCCACGGAUCUGCAUGGAUCUGCGGGAAAAGGAUUUAAUCGCUCUAGGAUGGACUCGCGUCCAAUUAGCUAGUUGGUGAGGUAACGGCCCACCAAGGCGACGAUUGGUAGCCGGACUGAGAGGUUGAACGGCCACAUUGGGACUGAGACACGGCCCAGACUCCUACGGGAGGCAGCAGUAGGGGAUAUUGCACAAUGGGGGAAACCCUGAUGCAGCGACGCCGCGGGGAGGAAGAAGGUUUUCGGAUUGUAAACUCCUGUCGUUAGGGACGAUAAUGCCGGUACCUAACAAGAAAGCACCGGCUAACUACGUG
rnacentral:rRNA from 1 species